UACGUAGGGUGCAAGCGUUAAUCGGAAUUACUGGGCGUAAAGCGUGCGCAGGCGGCUUUGCAAGACAGAUGUGAAAUCCCCGGGCUUAACCUGGGAACUGCAUUUGUGACUGCAUGGCUAGAGUGCGGCAGAGGGGGAUGGAAUUCCGCGUGUAGCAGUGAAAUGCGUAGAUAUGCGGAGGAACACCAAAUGGGCGAAGGCAGUCCCCUGGGCCUGUACUGACGCUCAUGCACGAAAAGCGUGGGGGAGCAAACAGG
rnacentral:rRNA from 1 species